rnacentral:rRNA from 1 species
AUUGAACGCUGGCGGCAGGCCUAACACAUGUAAGUCGAACGAGUGGCGGACGGGUGAGUAAUGUCUGGGAAUCUGCCUGAUGGAGGGGGAUAACUACUGGAAACGGUAGCUAAUACCGCAUACCCUCAGAUGUUCCCAGAUGGGAUUAGCUUGUUGGUGGGGUAACGGCUCACCAAGGCGACGAUCCCUAGCUGGUCUGAGAGGAUGACCAGCCGCACUGGAACGGAGACACGGUCCUGACGCCUAUGGGAGGCAGCAGUGGGGAAUAUUGCACAAUGGGCGCAAGCCUGAUACAGCCAUGCCGCGUGUAGGAAGAAGGCCUUCGGGUUGUAAAGUACUUUCAGCGGGGAGGCGUUACCCGCAGAAGAAGCACCGGCUAACUCCGUGCCAGCAGCCGCGGUAAUUC